GUAGGGAAUCUUGCGCAAUGGGCGAAAGCCUGACGCAGCCAUGCCGCGUGAAUGAUGAAGGUCUUAGGAUUGUAAAAUUCUUUCACCGGGGACGAUAAUGACGGUACCCGGAAAAGAAGCUCCGGCUAACUUCGUGCCAGCAGCCGCGGUAAUACGAAGGGGGCUAGCGUUGCUCGGAAUUACUGGGCGUAAAGGGCGCGUAGGCGGAUAUUUAAGUCGGGGGUGAAAGCCCGGGGCUCAACCUCGGAAUAGCCUUCGAUACUGGAUAUCUUGAGUACGGGAGAGGUGUGUGGAACUCCGAGUGUAGAGGUGAAAUUCGUAGAUAUUCGGAAGAACACCAGUGGCGAAGGCGACACACUGGCCCGUUACUGACGCUGAGGCGCGAAAGCGUGGGGAGCAAACAGGAUUAGAAACCCCUGUAGUCC
rnacentral:rRNA from 1 species